rnacentral:rRNA from 1 species
AUUGAACGCUGGCGGCAUGCCUUACACAUGCAAGUCGAACGGUAACAGGUCUUCGGAUGCUGACGAGUGGCGAACGGGUGAGUAAUACAUCGGAACGUGCCCGAGAGUGGGGGAUAACGAGGCGAAAGCUUUGCUAAUACCGCAUACGAUCUCAGGAUGAAAGCGGGGGACCGUAAGGCCUCGCGCGAUUGGAGCGGCCGAUGUCAGAUUAGGUAGUUGGUGGGGUAAAGGCUCACCAAGCCAACGAUCUGUAGCUGGUCUGAGAGGACGACCAGCCACACUGGGACUGAGACACGGCCCAGACUCCUACGGGAGGCAGCAGUGGGGAAUUUUGGACAAUGGGCGCAAGCCUGAUCCAGCAAUGCCGCGUGCAGGAAGAAGGCCUUCGGGUUGUAAACUGCUUUUGUACGGAACGAAACGGUCCUGGUUAAUACCUGGGGCUAAUGACGGUACCGUAAGAAUAAGCACCGGCUAACUACGUGCCAGCCGCCGCCGUAAAAC